GUUCCUGUAGUUAAAGUUUCAUAACAAUGGUUUUUCAGGCCGUAGAUCUUGGGGAGGAUCCAAGCGGGAACU
rnacentral:tRNA from 1 species